rnacentral:rRNA from 1 species
CCUACGGGUGGCAGCAGUGAGGAAUAUUGGUCAAUGGGCGCGAGCCUGAACCAGCCAAGUAGCGUGAAGGAUGACUGCCCUACGGGUUGUAAACUUCUUUUAUAAAGGAAUAAAGUGAGGCACGUGUGCCUUUUUGUAUGUACAUUAUGAAUAAGGAUGGGCUAACGCCGGGCCAGCAGCCGCGGUAAUACGGAGGAUCCGCGCGUUAACCGGAUUUAGUGGGUUGAAAGGGAGCGUAGAGGGGUUGUUAAGUCAGUUGUGAAGGUUUGCGGCGCAACCGUAAAACUGCACUUGAUACUGGCAGUCUUGCGUGCCGUUGAGGUCGGCGGAAUUCGUGGUGUCGCGGU